rnacentral:rRNA from 1 species
AUGAAAUUUAAUGUCUACAACAUUAAUGCACCGGAUCCCAUUAUAACUCUGCAAUUAAGUGUGUUUGGGCUAGAGUAGUAUUGGAAUGGGUGACCUUCCGAGAAUUCCUAGUGUUUUACAUG